rnacentral:rRNA from 1 species
CGGGUGCACUGAUCCGGCCGGGCCUUUCCCUCUGUGGAACCCCAUGGCCUUCACUGGCUGUGCGGGGGAAACAGGACUUUUACUGUGAAAAAAUUAGAGUGCUCCAGGCAGGCCUAUGCUCGAAUACAUUAGCAUGGAAUAAUAGAAUAGGACGCGUGGUUCUAUUUUGUUGGUUUCUAGGACCGCCGUAAUGAUUAAUAGGGACAGUCGGGGGCAUCAGUAUUCAAUUGUCAGAGGUGAAAUUCUUGGAUCUAUUGAAGACUAACUACUGCGAAAGCAUUUGCCAAGGAUGUUUUCAUUGAUAAGGAACGAAAGUUAGGGGAUCGAAGACGAUCAGAUACCGUCGUAGUCUUAACUAUAAACUAUGCCGACUAGGGAUCGGACGAUGUUAUUUCUUGACGCGUUCGGCACCUUUCGAGAAAUCAAAGUGCUUGGGCUCCAGGGGGAGUAUGGUCGCAAGGCUGAAACUUAAAGGAAUUGACGGAAGGGCACCACCAGGAGUGGAGCCUGCGGCUUAAUUUGACUCAACACGGGGAAACUCACCAGGUCCAGACAUACGGAGGAUUGACAGAUUGAAAGCUCUUUCUAGAUUGUAUGGGUGGUGGUGCAUGGCCGUUCUUAGUUCGUGGAGUGAUUUGUCUGGUUAAUUCCGAUAACGAACGAGACCUUAUUCUGCUAAAUAGACAGACUCAUUUUUUAAUGGGGUUGAAGGCUUCGGUCUUUGCUGU